rnacentral:tRNA from 1 species
GCCUGGAUAGCUCAGUCGGUAGAGCAUCAGACUUUUAAUCUGAGGGUCCAGGGUUCGAGGCCCUGUUCGGGCG